rnacentral:lncRNA from 1 species
CACAGCUGGGUAAAACCCACAUCGUUCUGACUCCAAAUAUUUUUCAUUUAAUUUACAUGGAUAAUAAUCAACAUUAGUCACAAAAACAAGUAUGCUUUUUGCCCAGUUGAUAUGACUUGAUUCUACAGCGUCCCCAAAGGCUCCUGUGUCAAAGGCUUCAUACCCAAUUCAGCAGUGUUCAGGGGUGGUGCUUUGGCAAGGUGAUUAUAUCAUGGAUCCAAUAGGUGGCAGAAUGGACUACUGGGAGGAAGUGGAAACCGUAGGUGGUGGGGUGUGGUUGGAGGAAGUAGGUCACUGGGGGGUGUCCUGGAAGGUUGAUUCUUGUCCCAGUCAUUUCUCUCUCUCUUCCCUUCUCCUUCCUGGCUGCCAGGAGCUGAGCAGCUUUCCUCCUCCAUACCCUUCCACCUGAUGUCCUGCCUAAACUCAGACCCAAAGCAAUGGAGCAGGCCAACAUGGACUGAAACCUCUGAAGCCAAAACCAAUCUUUCUUCCUGCAAGGAGUGUUUACUCAGGUAUUUGUCGCUGCAACAAAAAGCC